GCGGCGAUAGCUCAGCUGGAUAGAGCAUUUGACUACGGAUCAAAGGGUCGGGAGUUCGAAUCUUCUUCGCCGCACCA
rnacentral:tRNA from 1 species